UGGCUUACCAAGCCUAUGAUCUGUACGGGUUGUGAGAGCAAGAGCCCGGAGAUGGAACGUGAGACAAGGUUCCAGGCCCUACGGAGCGCAGCAGGCGCGAAACCUCCGCAAUGUGAGAAAUCGCGACGGGGGGAUCCCAAGUGCCAUUCUUAACGGGAUGGCUUUUCUUAAGUGUAAAAAGCUUUUGGAAUAAGAGCUGGGCAAGACCGGUGCCAGCCGCCGCGGUAACACCGGCAGCUCUAGUGGUAGCUGUUUUUAUUGGGCCUAAAGCGUUCGUAGCCGGUUUGAUAAGUCACUGGUGAAAUCCUGUAGCUUAACUGUGGGAAUUGCUGGUGAUACUGUUGAACUUGAGGUCGGGAGAGGUUAGCGGUACUCCCAGGGUAGAGGUGAAAUUCUGUAAUCCUGGGAGGACCACCUGUGGCGAAGGCGGCUAACUGGAACGAACCUGACGGUGAGGGACGAAAGCUAGGGGCGCGAACCGGAUUAGAUACCCGGGUAGUCCUAGCCGUAAACGAUGCGGACUUGGUGUUGGGAUGGCUUUGAGCCGCUCCGGUGCCGAAGGGAAGCUGUUAAGUCCGCCGCCUGGGAAGUACGGUCGCAAGACUGAAACUUAA
rnacentral:rRNA from 1 species